GAGUUGUAUCAAGCUUGAAUAUUGUAUCCAUUUUGCCCAAACUGUUCAGGGUUGGACCCCCACGGUCGUAUCCAGCUGCACUAGGCGAAGCAGUUUAUCUCAUUAUCUCAUCUAUCAUAUUGAUGUAAACUUUACCUUAACUUCAUUUGAGAAAUUUUCGUAUGUAAGUUGUAAGUGAAACUUGAUAAACACACUCAACAUUAAAAUAUUAUUUAUUAAAAUACAUAAAUACAUACAUAUAUUAAUUCUAGUAUUAAGACACAUUCAUUUAACUACUGGACCCAUGGUCAGUUUUCUUACAAUAUCAAAGCUUCAUGAAAAAAUGUUCUUGUUGACUUUAUAAUAGUCUUCUACAUAGAUCAUCAUGCAGAUUUUGGUGAAGCACUUAUCCCUCCCAAGAUAUUUAUUAUCACCUACCAAUUUCAUCAUGCCAAAAUCAGCUUUUGAUGAAAAAGAAAACUUAGAUGAAGAUCCGGUAGUCAAGUACAUGUAUCAAUAAGGCCAUUUAAAAUAAAUCUUUUGUUUCUAAGCAUUUUGAAUUGUAAAUAUUUUUUUGAUUGCUUGUGGCCAAGCUGUGUAUAAUUUUCAAUUGCUUUGAAAAGAUAAAGAGGAUAUUAUAAUUUUGUUUGAAACCAAUAUAAUUUGCAAUAGAUAAAAACUUGUAGAUC
rnacentral:lncRNA from 1 species